UUUAAAAGCAGACUUUGUAGGUUUAGAACUCAUUUGAACUCCAAAGCUUUCCUCUAAUUUACAGUUUAUAAGUUUCACAGCUUAUACUUACUAUAAGACACAUUUGAUGUUCUAAUUGAAUUUCUUGUAAAAGAGAUUGAUGGACGUAAGAGGACAGAGAGAAGUGCAGAGCAAAAGGCAUACAGUCGUGACCUUGAAAAGAGGUAAGCUCUGUAACACCAAGCCUUAGACCAGUUAAGUUUCUGUAGAUUAAAACCUGUACUUGCAGCAAUAAUUCUUCUAAAGCACUUGUCACCAUGCCACAUCAGAUAAUGUUUCUUACGUGAGCAGACAGAGAGAGAUGACCCUUCUGUGCAGCAACUAGAUUUCAGUGUAAUCUAGCACACAAUCUCCAGACAACAAAGAUUCUGAUAAUAGCCACUGUAAGAUUCUAAAACAACUUGUUAUUCAGGUAGAUGGAAGGAUAUUCAGAAGUGAUUCAUCUAAGUCCUAAAACUUUCAGCCUAAAUCCAAGGUCACAAUCAAGGCAGAUGAUGCAUCUAGAACCUGUUUUCCACUGCCCUUACCUUUAAUUUGUAACAAGCACUCCUUUUGUUUUUUUUUUGUUAAGAUUGUAUUUGAGAUGAUAGUACCUUCUAUCAAUUAGUCCAAGUAAAAUAUAGAUAUGCAGCAGAAGGGAAUCACAGUAUUCAUGCUCUUCUGCCACUCUUAUAUGACUUUCACUGCAAGAAAAGUUGCACAAAAAGCCCUCUAGCAUGAAUGACCAGUCUUGUCUUUUCCUUGCUACAUUAACAAACCUGAAGGACAGUAGCAACUGAAGCAUUUCGUGUUCUUCUCUCACUAAGAGAUUAGCUACCAACAACUGCUAUUACUGCUAACAGUGAUUAUCAAUAACAUUUUACCUAAGUCAUAAGGCAACUUUCUGAAAAGACUGGAGAUCAGAGGGCAGAAAUUAAUGGAAAAGCCUCAGUACCACCUCCAUCUUCACUGGAAAGGUUGUCAAGAUGGGCCAGUAAUGAUUUUUCUUAACAGCAGAAGGAUUCUUGUUGUAUUCUAACACUUACCCAGCAAACUAAAAAGAAAGCAUUUAAGAAACAUAGCUGUUCAAAACUCAUAUGCCCCAGAAUCAAUGUGCAACUGGAAACUACUCACAACAUAAGCAUAUGCUUCUGUAACUGGAAAUGUGAUGCUGUGAUAGUGGCCUGCACAGCAAGUGGACUGGUUGAACACAUCAGUACUAAUUACAUGGCACAAUUCUCCUCUCCUCCCUUUGCUUUGCUGCCUGUCAACAAACUGAAGCUUUGAAAACUCCAAGGUGCUUUUUGUCAAACUAAGAAUUCUAUGGCAGUAAUUUUAAAUGGAUGACUGAAGUUUUCAACCAUUUUUCUUAUAUAACAGCCAUAUCAAACUAACUGUAUUAAAAAGAACAGAACAACCUGAAGAAGUUUGCUCUAAUCCUGAUUUACAGAACCAAAAGCUAACAACUACUCCUUAACGUCAAAUUCAAGUAAUUUCUCAUCUCUAAGUAACUCCCCAUCACAUUUAAGGACAAUGCAACUGAUUUUUUUCCUCCCAAGGAUAUUGCACAGACUUUCUAUGAGGACCUGAUGGUCAACGAACAUGUCUGUUCCCAGCAGGUAUUGCUUCAUGUGCAGACUUCAAAUUCUUUACCCAUCUUCUAAAAACAGUAGAAAUUGAGAAUACUGGUAACUAAUUCAUGAACAGCUUCUCAAUUGCCCACAGCACUUUAUUUGAACCCACUUAAAACUGGCAGUAAAUAAGCACGUUACAGCUUUAUAAAAGUAGUACUUGAACAAUUCAAGAAGACACUAAAUUUAAAAAAGAAGAAAAAAUUUACCUUCUCUAAUUCUUACCUGAACUGCGCUUUGAUGUUGCUAGGGCUUGCAGAUCUGGUCUGAAUUUCUUUCUCCUGUUUUUCUCGCAGAAUCCUCUCAGCCAGUAAGAAGUACGUAGCAGUGAUGUGAUUGUAUUUGUUAGUUUCCAGUGCCCUAGGGAAACAACAGAACAAGAAACAAACCGUACAUCAGUGGCUUCUAAGAACGGGACGUGCAGUUUGCACAUCUUGCUGUAUUUCUUAGGCACAGCACCUGGCAAACACAACUGUGUCUUUCUGAUACCCUGACAAUUGUCUUGGUCUUCCUAAAAAUAAAGAGCCAACAGGACUAACCAUUUCACUUUAGGUGAAUGAGAAUAUUUUUAGAGUGCCAUUCAAAAAGAAAUUAAUUCUUCCUUUGCUGACCGUACUUGAAAGAAUAAAACUGUAUUUUGUUCAUGUUAUGCACCAGCAGCAGGCUUUCCCAUUGGCAUAUACACAACGUUCCAACACUCACUUAUGUAGCAACCAGAUGAAAAACUUCCAUUAUCUUACAGCUGUCACGUUAACUUCACAAUAACAUUAUACUCCUAAUCCCAACAUAAAGGACACCAGCAGCUAAAAACAUAAGUAGUGACCCUGCUGUUUUGUUAUCUCUUUUAUUUUUCUCCCCCUCCCCCCAGUGUUAAGGUUUUAAGAGUUUUUUCCAGGUCAACCAUGAACAAAUAGAAAAAAACAGCUACACCCUCUUUCAAUGCAUUGAAUAUUGUGAAGAGUUGGGGUUUUUAAUCUGUUAGAAGAAACUAUGCAGCUUUCUAGUAUGCUCACUCAGUGGCAAUGACGAUUUUGCAUUACACAGACAUAAGAAAUAGUACUUUGAAUUACAAAGAUCCACGUAUAUGCCAGCAUACUGAAGGAAAAAUGUUAGAAUUUAUCACCUCUACAUAUGCAUGCGGACAGGCAUAACUAGUAUGGAUAGGUAGCACAAGUCAAAGCAUGGAUUUCAAAGCAAAUUUGCUUAAGAUUGCAAAGUGUUGCAGGAAACGAACACUGUUCCAAAACACCUCCUUGAAGUUUUGCCUAAAACUGGAUCCAUGUCAGUACUUGUCAUCCUAGAAUGCUCUCAGAGAGCAAGAUUGUAACACUUCAUUUGACAACUGAAUGGCUUGACACUUCAACACUGAAACACCCAGGUCACCAGCGUUGUAUCUCGUAUGAUGGCACAAAAUGCACUUCAUGUAGGAGACAGAGAACUUACUCCACUAUAGUGUCUCGGUCUGCAAUGUCACCAAGAACCAUGCGCUGUAUUAUGCUGUUGUGUUCCUCCUCGGACAGAUUUUUGUAUGACACAAGAGGAAUGUUGUACUUUGUUGCAGGGGAAGGGUCAACUCCUUGGAGCCACGCAUGGUUCUCAAUCUCUUCCAAAGAUGCCCUUCGCUUCGGAUCUCUCUGCAGCAUCCGUGUAAUCAGACUGUAAACAAAAAACAGAUCUAAACAAAAUGCACUUGCAUGUUUAAAAGACAACCAUUCUAACAGCAGCACUGGAAAGAACUUUGCUGUCAGCCCAAAUAGGUCCUCAGAAGUCUCUACGUAAGCAGUGUGGUAAGAAAUUAUUCUCAAACAAGUUCCAAAUAUUGCUGAGCUGAAACUAUUUAUUUAUUAAAAACUACAAAUACCAUAAGCACUACAGUUUUCAUUUGCUAUGCUUAGAUUCCUAACAUCUGAUUUGCUGUUGUUUGUUUUUUUUAGUGUUUGUAUGGCAGCUGUGACAGAUGGCCUACAGGCUGGUCUGUACAAUAAUAGAAAUAUAAUUUCCUACCAUUGCUGCUGUCAACAAGAUUGUAGAGUGGCAAAAUAAGCAGAAAUGUUCUAUUCUGAGAUCGCCUGUAAGACAUUUAAUUCUUCUGCAUCUGUGAAAAGACAGUGACCUCUUCCACCCUUAAAAACAACAUCAAGGAUGAAGUAACAAACAUACUAACAGGUUGACGCUGAACGUUUGCAAGUGCUGGUAGGGCAGUGCAUAGAUUCCUAAAGUAAGCAGGAAAAGAUGACCGUCACCUCCGUGAACUCUGUCUCUACUGGGAAGUUAUCCAGAUGUCACUUCACACUAUGGGAAUUCCAGCAGCAGUUUUGGGCCUCAGACCCCAGCAUUUCAGAGAUCUGCACGCAGUAAAAGAAGCAAGCAGCAGAUCUGAGGGCCUCGAUCCUGUAUGUGCCCAGCACUUGGAGGCCAGCAGGCCGAGCCAUGGAGACCUGCAAAUUCAACUUCAUUGAUCACACUGCAAAGUCAGCGAGGGCUUUACUGCUUCACCAGCCUGAUGCCAGAAAGCUGCACGGUUUGGAAUGCUGAGACUGAAAGAAAGCCUUGCAAGGCAGAGGCAACUUUACCUGAAGGUACCAGAUGGGAUCAAUGAAGGAUGGAAAUGGGCCCCGACUGGCAGCAUCACGGGCAAUUAUUCCAAUCACUGUGUUAAGAUAUUAAAGAGAAUGUCACUGCCACAGCCUCUUCAGAGCACUGUGAAGAAAGCAGAUUUCAAGGGGACCUCCUGAAGAUGAGGCCUGAAUGCUGAAUGUUGAGUCUCUUUCAACAUCAAGUUCUUCUGUGCAGAGCUAAAUGUGGAAAUUUUAAUGUAAAAAUCACCCACGUCUUUGCAUUCUUGAAGGCAGCAACUGAGCAGUAUCUCAAGGCUGUUCCAAGCACAGACUAUGGAAAACAAUGAAAACUCCAAUUUGUAGAAAACUUCACACAACUGUCUGAAGAGUCAGAACACAGCUUGAGUACAAAUCCGUAUGAAAACACUGCAGGAAGAUUUUUAUGCACUUAAUGAAAACCUACGUAACCGCAGUAAAAAAGAAAAGCUGGUCUCAUACUGAUCAGUGCUUCAGGGGGCGUGUUACAUUGGUGAUAUGUUUGUGCUUCAGAAGGUAAGUACACCGACCCUCUGCAGACAAGAAGCUUAGAAGAUGCCAUCCCUGGCAUAGAAAAAAAAAAAAAAAACAGAAACAAGACAGUAUAGAGUAACCUUGUGUUAGCAGUAUCAAUGUUUGUAUGCAUCACAGGUAGUUGUACACUACUAUAUGCACACUGCUGACGAGCCUGGAUGAUGACGACGACUCUGGGCCAGCUGUAAAUCUGAAGAGCAUGGAUAGAGAUGCUCCAACGCUAAGUCAUCUGUAACUUUAGCAGCACGAUAACAUUUCCUGCCAAUUAGCUGGCUUCCACAUAUGGCAUUAUAUUGAAACAGAAAACAGAGUGGUACAACAUCAUGGUGCUUCACAUUGAGAUCAGUUGUAGAAUUCAAAGAGGACGUACCCACUGCUGGUGCAUCAUAUUCAUCCCCAAGUAAAAUUUCAGGAGCAGAAUACGCGAGAGAUCCACAGCUCGUGGUGAGUUUUUUUCCAGGCUGAAAUUUGUUGCUGAAGCCAAAAUCAGUUAAUUUCACAAGUCCUUGUUUUUCAAAGAAGACCACAUUCUCUGGCUUUAAGUCUCUGUGAACUACAUGCAGUUUGUGGCAGUAUGAUAUAGCGUGGACUAUUUGAGCAAAGUACUUUUUUGCCAGAUCCUCAUUCAGACCUUCUUCGUGCUUCAUGAUGUAAUCAAACAUAUCCCCUCCAUCACCUAGUUCUAAGAUGAGAUAAAGCUUAGUCUGGGUGUCAAUCACUUCAUACAGCCGUACAAUAUUGGGAUGCUGCACUAGUUUCAUGCAUCUAACUUCUUGAAAAAGAUGUCCAGUAGCUAGAGUAUCCAGUUUGGUCUUGUCAAUUACUUUUACUGCUACUUUUUCACCUGUGAAGACAUGUCGAGCAAGUUUGACCACAGCAAAAUGUCCUCUGCCCAAAGUCUUAUCCAAGUCAUACAAUCCUGCAAUUUUUCCAUCGUAUCCUCGUUUGAAGCCUGCCAUUCUGUUUCAGAAGAUGAAAUAAUGCUCAAGCUCUUUGGAACUGUGAUCUUUUCAUAGAAGAGUAUCCGUUGCAAAUAAAUAGUCCAUCAUCACUGCCAAGCACGCCUGAAAAAAUAGAGACAAGGUUAUAUAUUUGUAUGAAAGUAAGCAAAACCAUUAUCCUGUAGUGAUUUUGAAGUCACACAGGCAUGCUGUUACAGAUUACUUACAAGAUCUUGAGGAGUUUUUGCAAGGAGUUUGGUAAGUUAUACCACACUGACUAAUACAUUUCUGAAGCCACAUUACCAGUAUGGUUGAAGAGAGUGAAUUUCAGCAGUGCAUUAACAAAGAUUUCACCAAAGCUGCGUGGCAUUCGUGUUCUUGUAAGAAACAUAUGAAGGCAUCAGUGCUACAAGGUCUGCUAAAACUGACAGAGCCAGAAUCUGCAACUUUUCUGGCUAUUUUAUUGGCCAGAAAUCAGGUGGGCAUUUACAUGAAAACAUUUGAUUUACCUUAGAUUUCAGUUUAUUCUUUCAUGUUGCAGCAUGUUAAACAAACUGACACACAGGAUUUCAUUUUGUUACAUGUGAGUUUAAGUACUAUCGACUAAUCCUGUAAUUACCACAAAUUAACAAAGCUUUAUAGGCUGAAAUUAAAACAUGUGGCUUACAAAAAAAAGUUUGGUUAAAUAUUUUGACUAGAGUUAUGAAAACUGGUGAUAAAAAGUUUGUGUAUUCAGCAGCCCUGGCAAUAAGUCAAUAAGAAUAGAAAGGAAGCAGAGACACCACAGGAGGUUCAGCUUGUACCGAAUUCCUGCUUACAACUAAAUCCAGCACACGUUUCAAGAGGUAAGGUCCAUUUUACAGAACGUUCACAUUCAAACCUGUUUUAGGUCUCAUGCCUUAUUUUUAUUUUAUUUCACAUGUAAAACACUCCAAAAAAACUUUUUCUUGUACUUGUAACUUAGAUUGGAGUUUAACCAUCUGUAGUUAUCAAAAAGCUAGCCAUUCAUCCCGCUUCAAGCACAAAGCACCUAGAAAUAUGAAAACUAGAUGGCUUACCGCCAGCUCAAUGAAACAGAAAACAGCUCUUUGUAAUAUAUUCUCUUCUUUAGAAUACAUUUUCUCAGUUUCAAAACAAAACUUCAAAAAGAAAAGCUCUGAAAAGGAAGCUGGCAAGCAAACAU